AACACAUGCAAGUCGAACGGAGAUUUGGAAGUGACACCUUCGGGUGAAGCGACCGGAUCUGAGUGGCGGACGGGUGAGUAACACGUGAGUAACCUGCCUUUUUCCGGGGGAUAACAGCGGGAAACCGCUGCUAAUACCGCAUGAUCUGUCUGAAGGGCAUCCUUCGGACAGGAAAGGAGCAAUCCGGGAUUAGAUGGACUCGCGUCCGAUUAGUUAGUUGGCGGGGUAAUGGCCCACCAAGACCGCGAUCGGUAGCCGGACUGAGAGGUUGAACGGCCACAUUGGGACUGAGACACGGCCCAGACUCCUACGGGAGGCAUCAGUGGGGAAUAUUGGGCAAUGGGCGCAAGCCUGACCCAGCAACGCCGCGUGAAGGAUGAAGGCCCUCGGGUUGUUAACUUCUUU
rnacentral:rRNA from 1 species